rnacentral:tRNA from 1 species
GGGUGAGUAGCUCAACUGGCUAGAGCAGCGGUCUCCAAAACCGCAGGCUGCGGGUUCGAGUCCUGCCUCACCCGCCA